GCCAGGCAUGGUGGUGCGUGCCUGUAAUCCCAGCGACUUGGGAGGCUGAGGCAUGAGAAUCGCUUGAGCCCAGGAGGCAGAGGUUGCAGUGAGCCAAGAUUGUGCCACUGCACUCCAGCCUGGGUGACAGAGUGAGACUCUGUCUCCA
rnacentral:SRP_RNA from 1 species